rnacentral:rRNA from 1 species
GAAAUCAACCGAGAUUCCCCCAGUAGCGGCGAGCGAACGGGGAGGAGCCCAGAGCCUGAAUCAGUGUGUGUGUUAGUGGAAGCGUCUGGAAAGGCGCGCGAUACAGGGUGACAGCCCCGUACACAAAAAUGCACAUACUGUGAGCUCGAUGAGUAGGGCGGGACACGUGGUAUCCUGUCUGAAUAUGGGGGGACCAUCCUCCAAGGCUAAAUACUCCUGACUGACCGAUAGUGAACCAGUACCGUGAGGGAAAGGCGAAAAGAACCCCGGCGAGGGGAGUGAAAAAGAACCUGAAACCGUGUACGUACAAGCAGUGGGAGCACAGAGCAAUCUGUGUGACUGCGUACCUUUUGUAUAAUGGGUCAGCGACUUAUAUUCUGUAGCAAGGUUAACCGAAUAGGGGAGCCGAAGGGAAACCGAGUCUUAACCGGGCGUUAAGUUGCAGGGUAUAGACCCGAAACCCGGUGAUCUAGCCAUGGGCAGGUUGAAGGUUGGGUAACACUAACUGGAGGACCGAACCGACUAAUGUUGAAAAAUUAGCGGAUGACUUGUGGCUGGGGGUGAAAGGCCAAUCAAACCGGGAGAUAGCUGGUUCUCCCCGAAAGCUAUUUAGGUAGCGCCUCGUGAAUUCAUCUCCGGGGGUAGAGCACUGUUUCGGCAAGGGGGUCAUCCCGACUUACCAACCCGAUGCAAACUGCGAAUACCGGAGAAUGUUAUCACGGGAGACACACGGCGGGUGCUAACGUCCGUCGUGAAGAGGGAAACAACCCAGACCGCCAGCUAAGGUCCCAAAGUCAUGGUUAAGUGGGAAACGAUGUGGGAAGGCCCAGACAGCCAGGAUGUUGGCUUAGAAGCAGCCAUCAUUUAAAGAAAGCGUAAUAGCUCACUGGUCGAGUCGGCCUGCGCGGAAGAUGUAACGGGGCUAAACCAUGCACCGAAGCUGCGGCAGCGACACUGUGUGUUGUUGGGUAGGGGAGCGUUCUGUAAGCCUGUGAAGGUGUACUGUGAGGUAUGCUGGAGGUAUCAGAAGUGCGAAUGCUGACAUAAGUAACGAUAAAGCGGGUGAAAAGCCCGCUCGCCGGAAGACCAAGGGUUCCUGUCCAACGUUAAUCGGGGCAGGGUGAGUCGACCCCUAAGGCGAGGCCGAAAGGCGUAGUCGAUGGGAAACAGGUUAAUAUUCCUGUACUUGGUGUUACUGCGAAGGGGGGACGGAGAAGGCUAUGUUGGCCGGGCGACGGUUGUCCCGGUUUAAGCGUGUAGGCUGGUUUUCCAGGCAAAUCCGGAAAAUCAAGGCUGAGGCGUGAUGACGAGGCACUACGGUGCUGAAGCAACAAAUGCCCUGCUUCCAGGAAAAGCCUCUAAGCAUCAGGUAACAUCAAAUCGUACCCCAAACCGACACAGGUGGUCAGGUAGAGAAUACCAAGGCGCUUGAGAGAACUCGGGUGAAGGAACUAGGCAAAAUGGUGCCGUAACUUCGGGAGAAGGCACGCUGAUAUGUAGGUGAAGUCCCUCGCGGAUGGAGCUGAAAUCAGUCGAAGAUACCAGCUGGCUGCAACUGUUUAUUAAAAACACAGCACUGUGCAAACACGAAAGUGGACGUAUACGGUGUGACGCCUGCCCGGUGCCGGAAGGUUAAUUGAUGGGGUCAGCGCAAGCGAAGCUCUUGAUCGAAGCCCCGGUAAACGGCGGCCGUAACUAUAACGGUCCUAAGGUAGCGAAAUUCCUUGUCGGGUAAGUUCCGACCUGCACGAAUGGCGUAAUGAUGGCCAGGCUGUCUCCACCCGAGACUCAGUGAAAUUGAACUCGCUGUGAAGAUGCAGUGUACCCGCGGCAAGACGGAAAGACCCCGUGAACCUUUACUAUAGCUUGACACUGAACAUUGAGCCUUGAUGUGUAGGAUAGGUGGGAGGCUUUGAAGUGUGGACGCCAGUCUGCAUGGAGCCGACCUUGAAAUACCACCCUUUAAUGUUUGAUGUUCUAACGUGGACCCGUGAUCCGGGUUGCGGACAGUGUCUGGUGGGUAGUUUGACUGGGGCGGUCUCCUCCUAAAGAGUAACGGAGGAGCACGAAGGUUGGCUAAUCCUGGUCGGACAUCAGGAGGUUAGUGCAAUGGCAUAAGCCAGCUUGACUGCGAGCGUGACGGCGCGAGCAGGUGCGAAAGCAGGUCAUAGUGAUCCGGUGGUUCUGAAUGGAAGGGCCAUCGCUCAACGGAUAAAAGGUACUCCGGGGAUAACAGGCUGAUACCGCCCAAGAGUUCAUAUCGACGGCGGUGUUUGGCACCUCGAUGUCGGCUCAUCACAUCCUGGGGCUGAAGUAGGUCCCAAGGGUAUGGCUGUUCGCCAUUUAAAGUGGUACGCGAGCUGGGUUUAGAACGUCGUGAGACAGUUCGGUCCCUAUCUGCCGUGGGCGCUGGAGAACUGAGGGGGGCUGCUCCUAGUACGAGAGGACCGGAGUGGACGCAUCACUGGUGUUCGGGUUGUCAUGCCAAUGGCACUGCCCGGUAGCUAAAUGCGGAAGAGAUAAGUGCUGAAAGCAUCUAAGCACGAAACUUGCCCCGAGAUGAGUUCUCCCUGACCCUUUAAGGGUCCUGAAGGAACGUUGAAGACGACGACGUUGAUAGGCCGGGUGUGUAAGCGCAGCGAUGCGUUGAGCUAACCGGUACUAAUGAACCGUGAGGCUUAACCUUACAACGCCGAAGGUGUUU